AUGCCACUCGCCCUACUUCAUUUCAUCACAUAGACAUUUUAUCAUCCCACAUCACCACAAGAAGAAGGGAUCUACAUGAGUCCAUAUGUGCAGAGCACCAUUUCCCACUGGAUUACUUUAUAAUCAUCAAGGCUACAUAAAAAGUGGUAGAGGGAGCAGGUGGAAGAAAUGGGAGCAAUGAGAGGCCCUCCAUACAGAGAGGUAAGUGGUGCUUUGGAGCUUCUCUCAUUACUUCAAGCUAAGUGAGAAAGGCUCAAGAGAGCCACUUAAAGAGCUUGACUCACACAUAGAAACUGCACUUGGCUAACGCCUAAAACAUCGAAACAUGAAGAGAAAACAGUGCAACAAGAAAGAGGGCUGAAAUGAGAGCAAGUCACAAUUUUGCCAAUUCUAAAACAAAGGUACUUGUUUUCUGGGAACGAGAUAUAGGCUCUAAAGAAUAAAACGUAUGGCCAUUUUAAAGGAGUUUAUACUCAGGAAGACUAUACUUGAGUGGGAAGCAAGACCUCAACAGAUGGCGACCUGAGGAGUUUAGUCCAGCCAGAGGCACUGAGGCCUCCAAGGCCUUCAGCCAAAGGCCUGAGGAAGACCACAAAAGCCCUACUUGUAUCUGCCAUGCAGGACAACCCAACAUCAGACUACCCUUGUGUCAGUCAGGCACCUGCAUCCCAGAAGCUGACUUCACCCCACUCCCUGUGCCUCCUCAGCCCUGGUGGGACCACAAUCAGCAGCCUCAAAUAAGAGAGGAAGUGAAAACAGCAGACGGCCUCCACAGCGAUUCCCUGUCCCACACAGGUCUGAGCCAAGGACUAGAUAAAGACUUAACAUGGAUGAGAAUUUUAAUGUUUAUAUAUAUUGGCCAUAACUUCUUAAAUAAUAAAACGAAUCUGCCUUGUGAUUGAAGAGACUGGAAAAGCUCUGAGAUCUGUCUGAGAUAUCAUCUGAUCAGCAUGGAUCAGGAGGAUGUGAGGAUUUCAAAAAGUAUAGGAAAACUAGAGGCCUUUCUUACUUGCAAUAAGUCAGACAUAUUUAAUAAACCAGUUAUAACUGA